rnacentral:rRNA from 1 species
GAUGAACGCUGGCGGCGUGCUUAACACAUGCAAGUCGAACGGUGAAGCUCCGGCUUGCUGGAGUGGAUCAGUGGCGAACGGGUGAGUAACACGUGAGCAACCUGCCCCUGACUCUGGGAUAACAGCCGGAAACGGCUGCUAAUACCGGAUAUGCACCAUGAACGCAUGUUCUGUGGUGGGAAAGAUUUUUCGGUUGGGGAUGGGCUCGCGGCCUAUCAGCUUGUUGGUGAGGUAAUGGCUCACCAAGGCGUCGACGGGUAGCCGGCCUGAGAGGGUGACCGGCCACACUGGGACUGAGACACGGCCCAGACUCCUACGGGAGGCAGCAGUGGGGAAUAUUGCACAAUGGGCGAAAGCCUGAUGCAGCAACGCCGCGUGAGGGAUGACGGCCUUCGGGUUGUAAACCUCUUUUAGCAGGGAAGAAGCGAGAGUGACGGUACCUGCAGAAAAAGCGCCGGCUAACUACGUG